AUUACAUCAAGCCAGUAAACAUAUCUAUCACCUCACAUGCUUAUUCUUUGUUGUGGUAAGAACAGUUAAAUCUACUCUUUCAGUUAUUUCAAGUUUAUAUUAUUAUUAACUAUACUCACCAUGUUGUACUGUUCUCCAAAAUUUAUUUUUUCUGUCUAACUGAAACUUUAUACCCUUUGACCAACAUCUCCCUAUUGUCCCUACAUUCACAAGCCCCUGAUAACUGUCUUUUAAUUCUCUGCUUCUAUGAGUUCAACUCUUUUAGAUUCCACAUAUAAGUAAGAUCAUACAGUAUUUGUCUUUCUGUGCAUGGUUUAUUUCACUUCGUAUAAUCUAUGUUGUCACAAAUGAUAGGAUUUCUUUUUUUUUUAAGGUUAAAUACUACUACACUGUGUAUAUAUACCACAUUUUAUUUAUUCCCAUUAAUAGACACUUAGGUGGAUUCCAUGUCUUGAAAUUAUGAAUAAUGAACAUAGAAGUACAGAUAUCUCACUGACUUACUGAUUUUAUUUCCUUUGGUUACAUACCCAGAAGUAGGAUUGCUGGAUCAUAUGGCUGUUUGAUUUUUAAUUUGUUGAUGAACAUCUAUGCCAUUUCCUUGAAUGACCAUGGGUUGUACUAUUUCAUAAUUCUGCCAUCAAGUGUAUGGGAGUUUCAUGUCUUCCAUAUCUUCACCAAUACUUGUUAAGUCAAUGAUUCAUUUUAAGAGUUGGAAUAUGUCUCUCAGAAAUUGAUAGAGCUUUGCAAGUCUUCAGAUGUAUUCAAGUUUGCUAAACACUGGGUAAGGCCAUGGAUAAAAGAUUAGUUUUUGCAUUUUUAUAAGAAAAUCUGAACAGGAAGCGCUUCUUCUUACAAAAAGCCUUGAUUGAGAAGG
rnacentral:lncRNA from 13 species